GAUGAACGCUGGCGGCGUGCCUAAUACAUGCAAGUCGAGCGAACGGACGAGAAGCUUGCUUUUCUGAUGUUAGCGGCGGACGGGUGAGUAACACGUGGAUAACCUACCUAUAAGACUGGGAUAACUUCGGGAAACCGGAGCUAAUACCGGAUAAUAUUUUGAACCGCAUGGUUCAAAAGUGAAAGACGGUCUUGCUGUCACUUAUAGAUGGAUCCGCGCUGCAUUAGCUAGUUGGUAAGGUAACGGCUUACCAAGGCAACGAUGCAUAGCCGACCUGAGAGGGUGAUCGGCCACACUGGAACUGAGACACGGUCCAGACUCCUACGGGAGGCAGCAGUAGGGAAUCUUCCGCAAUGGGCGAAGGCCUGACGGAGCAACGCCGCGUGAGUGAUGAAGGUCUUCGGAUCGUAAAACUCUGUUAUUAGGGAAGAACAUAUGUGUAAGUAACUGUGCACAUCUUGACGGUACCUAAUCAGAAAGCCACGGCUAACUACUUG
rnacentral:rRNA from 1 species